rnacentral:rRNA from 1 species
GAUGAACGCUGGCGGCGUGCCUAAUACAUGCAAGUCGAGCGAACAGAUGAGGAGCUUGCUCCUCUGACGUUAGCGGCGGACGGGUGAGUAACACGUGGAUAACCUACCUAUAAGACUGGGAUAACUUCGGGAAACCGGAGCUAAUACCGGAUAAUAUAUUGAACCGCAUGGUUCAAUAGUGAAAGACGGUUUUGCUGUCACUUAUAGAUGGAUCCGCGCCGCAUUAGCUAGUUGGUAAGGUAACGGCUUACCAAGGCAACGAUGCGUAGCCGACCUGAGAGGGGGAGCGGCCACGGGGGAACGGAGACGGGGUCCAGACUCCAGGGGGAGGGGGCGGGGGGGAAUCUUGGGAAGGGGGCGAAGGCGGGAGGGGGCAGGGCGGGGGGGGGGAAGAGGGUUUUGGGAUCGUAAAACUUUUUUUGGGGGGAAGAACAAAGGUGAAGGUAAGAAGGCCGGUUUGGAGGGUACCUAAUAAGAAGGCCACGGCAAACUACGGG